rnacentral:rRNA from 1 species
ACCCGCUGAACUUAAGCAUAUCAAUAAGCGGAGGAAAAGAAACUAACAAGGAUUCCCUUAGUAACGGCGAGUGAAGCGGGAAAAGCUCAAAUUUGAAAUCUCACAGGUUCCCUGUGCGAAUUGUAGUUUAAAGAAGUAUUUACGGAGACAAUCCAGGCAUAAGUCCUUUGGAACAGGGCAUCAUAGAAGGUGAGAAUCCUGUACAUGGUCUGGCGUUGUUUCUAUGUGUUAUACUUUCAAAGAGUCGGGCUGUUUGGGAAUGCAGCCCAAAAUGGGUGGUAAAUACCAUCUAAAGCUAAACAUUGGCGAGAGACCGAUAGCGAACAAGUACCGUGAGGGAAAGAUGAAAAGAACUUUGAAAAGAGAGUUAAAUAGUACGUGAAAUUGUCAAAAGGGAAACACUUGAAACCAGUCUUGUCUGUAGAAUCCCAACUAGUUUAACGACUAGCAUAUGUUUCUACCGGCAGGUCAACAUCGGUUUCGACUGUAGUACAAAGCUUGAGGAAGGUGGCCUUCGGGUGUUAUAGCCUCAAGUCAUGCUAUGGUCGAGACCGAGGAUUGCAGCUCAGUCUUGGGGACCCGUUCGCCAGUUGAAUAACUUCUUGGACUGCUUGCAGAUCAAGAAGGAGCUAAGACUGCUCGGGCGGUACACCACACCUGUGCUUAGGAUGUUGACAUAAUGGUUUUAAAUGGCCCGUCUUGAAACACGG